UCGGUUUUCAAACAUCUUUUCUAUCCCUUCUUCGAUAAUUUUGAGAAACGAUCAUCAGUUGUUCUAUUUAUAUAUGCGAUAUUAUUUUUUAUUCAGAUCAAUCGCAAGAAAUCCUCGAUUGGAGAAAGCGUUUAAACAUCAUCGAAGGCAUUUGUCGAGGCCUUCUUUACCUUCACAGAGAUUCGAGAUUAAAGAUAAUCCAUCGAGACCUCAAGCCCAGUAACAUAUUGCUGGAUAAUGAUUGGAAUCCGAAGAUUUCCGAUUUCGGGAUGGCGAGAAUUUUCGGAAGCAACCAAGAUCAUAUCAGCACUGUAAGAGUUGUCGGAACAUAGUAAGCGAUCGCACAUAUUAUUAUAUUUGAUCCAUUUUAUAUUAUUUUAUCGGUAUAUAUAAAACUUUAAGAAUUUAAUUGGAGCAUGCAGCGGAUAUAUGGCUCCCGAAUAUGCAAUCGAAGGAAAAUUUUCCGAAAAAUCUGAUGUUUUCAGCUUCGGGGUGUUGAUGUUAGAGAUUGUUUGCGGAAGAAGGAACACGAGCUUUUACAAUCACGAAACCUCUGCCAAUCUCUUAGGACAUGUAUGUAUGUAUGUCUCUACCUUAAAUUUUAUAUGUCUUGUUGUCGUAUAUUUAUUUAUUUAUUUUCUCCGAAAAAAAAGGUGUGGAAACUGUGGAGUGAAGACGAUGUAGGAGAAUCGAUAGACGUAAGAAUAUCGAGUCGAAGUUAUCGUACAGAAGUGGUGAGAUGCAUACAAAUAGGAUUACUGUGUGUGCAAGAACUGCCUAAAGAUAGGCCUUCGGUUUCGAGUGUGCUCUCAAUGCUUAAGAGCGGAAUAGCAGAGCUUCCGGAACCUAAACAAGUUGCAUUUGCGUUGAAUUCAAAUAGUAGUUCGAAUACGAGGGCAAGUUCUUCUCAGCAGAGUCAAAAGAGUAGUGGCUCUGUGAAUAAUGUUACUAUCUCCGUCGUUGACGGUCGAUGAAAUAUUCGUAGUUGUCUCGAAGAAGAUUGUGAAUACAGAGAGUGGAAUAUACAUAGGGAUUUCUUAGCUUAUGUAUGUAUUUAUGUAUAGGCUUGUGUACGAGGAGGUUCAAGAUCGGUCAUCUUUAUUAAUUUAGGUUCAGUUUUUUUUCUCUCUUUUGCGCGUAAGCUCACUCGAUCAACAUGUAUUGGAGUUUAUUGCAUAUAGUAAACAUGUGUUAUAUCGAAUUGCUAAAGAAUUCCUCGCGUUAUAAUUAUUAACAAAAAAUCCCUUAUAAUGCAAAUUUUAAUUGAGUUUUUAGGGGUACUUUGCUAAAACAAAUAUUUUUUAUAUGGGGAGUUCCUGCUAAUAAAACAACAGAAGAAGUUUUUUAGCAAUUAGAGAAGACACGGAGGUGCCCAGCCCAAUGCAAUAAAUCGAGCGAAAUGCAUUUAGUAUCCAUGUGAAAAUCGCAAUUGUGUGAUUCCCCUGUCAUAAAUAAAUUAGCAAAUACCCCCGUAUAUUUAAUUUUAGAUUACAUACUCGACCAAUUUAUCUUUUCCCCAUAGACCAUUGCAAAAGGACAAAAAUAACCUGAGAGGUUUUUGCAAAAAGAAAAGCCUCAUCCAUUAAAUAUGUAAAAACUAAGGAACCAAAUUGAAUUUUUAAAAAGAUACAGAAAUUUAAAGAGGUCAAAUUGCAAUUUUCUAAAACAUAAUUUAAAGAAAGUCAUCAUUGUCUUCACAGGAACAUAUACGUAAUUUCCGAAAUUUUGGAACAAAAAUUGAAACCCAAAAAAACAGAAGGGCAUAUUACAAAUAAGCCCAUCAGUGGGAACUUAUUCAUAAAGAGAUCCAGACAAUAUUCUCCUUUACCAAUAAGUCCACACAUGGUCCAGAUUUAUGUAAAGGACUAAAAUAACCCCUCUUACUUUAAUAUGCUCCAAUUUCAUCCUUAACUUACUUUAACUUCAAUUUGACCCCAACUUUCACAAAUUAUUCAAUUUUGACCCAAAACUUUUUUUUUUUCACAAAUUUUUUUUUUUUCAAAAACUUUUUUUUCCCGCCGGAUUCCGGCGUUGACCGGCGGUCAACGCCGGUCUCCGGCGUUGACUUUUUUUUUUUUUUUUUUUUAUUUUUUUUAUUUUUUUUUUUCCUUCCGGAUUUUUUUUCCGGAUUCCGGCGUUGACCGGCGGUCAACGCCGGUCUCCGGCGUUGACUUUUUAUUUUAUUUUUUUUUUUAUUUUUUUUUUCUUCCGGAUUUUUUUUCCGGAUUCCGGCGGUCAACGCCGGUCUCCGGCGUUGACUUUUUAAAUUUUUUUUUUUUUUUUUUUUUUUUUUUCUGUAACUUUUUUUUCCGUUUAAACAGCAAUAUUGCUGUGAAUGACAGUAAUAUUAACUAUAUUGCUGUUAAACACAAUAAAAUUAACUAAACUAUAGUUUAACACAUUGAUAUUGCUAUAUUAAUCUCUAGCACAUUAAUAUUAACACAACAAAAUUCAUUAUUAUUGUAUAAUAAAGUAAUAUUACUAUGUUGUCCGUUCAACAAAUGUAAACAAAAUAAAAAAAACCAAAAGAAUUAAUAUUACUGUGAGUGACAGUAAUAUUACUAUAGCAACAGUAAUAUUACAAUAGUAGACAGUAAUAUUAUUACGUUACUUCGUGAAUAACUCGAACAAAACAAACACCCCAAAAAAAUAAUAAUAUUGAUGUUGUUGACAGUAAUAUUAUUGUGUUUACAGUUAUUUUACUGUCAACGACAGUAAUAUAAUUACGUUGACUUGUCAACAAAUCAAAAAAAAUAAAAAAAAAUAAUAAUAAAUAAAAAAAUAUAAUAUUGCAUUAAUUUACUGUCAACGGCAGCACAAUUACAUAAAUGUAAUGUCAACGGCAGUACAAUUACGUUAAUUAACUAUCAUUGACAGUAUAAUUACGCUAAAUUACUGUCAGUGACAGCACAAUUACGGUCAACGUGUAGCGGCGGGCGUGGAAAAACAAAACAAACCAAACAAAAAAAAAAAACUUAAAAAAACACUAAAGAAAGAGACCGCCGGAAACCGGCGAAAAAAUCCGGAAGAAAAGAAAAGAAAAAAAAAAAAAAGAAAAAAAAAAAAAAAAAAAAAAGUCAACGCCGGAAUCCGGAAAAAAAAUCCGGAAGAAAAAAAAAAAAAAAAAAAAAGUUUAAAAAGUCAACGCCGGAAUCCGGCGGCAAAAAAAAGUUUUUGAAAAAAAAAAAAUUUUUGAAAAAAAAAAAAAAUUUGGGUCAAAAUUUAAUAAUUUGUGAAAUUUGGAAUCAAAUUGAGAUUAAAUUAAGUUAAGGAUGAAAUUGGAGCAUAUUAAAUUAUACUCCAAAAAAAAGUCAAAAUUGAAUUUUUGUGGUCAAAAUUGAACUUUUAUGGACAAAAUUGAUUAAUUUGGAUUACAAUUAAGAAUUGGGUAUAAAUGAUUGAGGGUAAUAUUGGGAUAUACAUGAAUGUUUCCUUUAGUUAUAAUAAAUAUUAAAGGGAUGGGCUUAUUGGUGAAAGAGAUAUGUCCCCUAUACCUAGAAUAAUAAACAUGCUUGGUUGGGGACUUUUGCAUAAAAAUCCCAAAAAAGAAUUGAUUUUUUUUUUCUGAAAAAGUCAUUUCUCCGUCCGAUUUUCACUCGUGAUAAAUUAAAAUUUCAAAUUUGAAAAAAUUAAAAAAAUUGCAAAAUUCGUUGUAAUUGACUCAAGAAAUUAAUGGAAUAAUAAUCUCAAAUUAAUCUGGCUUGGAGGGACCGGGUGGUUUCGGCGCUGAAUAUUUCAGAGCUUGAAUUUCCAUUAAUGUCAAACUUCUUUCAAAUAUCGCUUUCUACAGUUCCGCUGACAAUAACUCUGCAAUUAAUUCAACUACUUACCUUCAAAACCUACUGAUAAUAAUUUCAUUUGUUCUGUUGUUCCAAAGAGAGAAACAAUAUCAUGAUCAUCCGAAUCAAGACUCUGAAUCAUCUAUCUGCAUUCAUAUUCAUCACACUCUUUGCUUUCUACCCAAUAAUUUGCGGAGCACAAGGCAACAACAACACCACAAUUACAAAUUCUUGCGAAACCUACGCCAGAUGCGGAGCUUUCGGCAGCUGCAACUCACAAGGCUCCCCAAUUUGCACCUGCUUACGUGGAUUCGAACCGCGGAACAAGCGAGAAUGGGGUUCCGGAAACUGGACCGCCGGGUGUUUGAGAAAAUUCCCCUUAGAGUGCCGUAUAGGAAAUAAUAGCAGUAGUAGUGGUAAUGUUAAUGGGGGAAGAGAAGAUGUGUUUUUGAGGGUAGAGAUGAUCAAAGUUUCGGGUUACUCGCAGCGUUGGCCCGGCCCGAAAAGCGAGUGCCAGAAGAUGUGCUGGAUGAACUGUUCUUGCUUAGCUUAUGCACACGAUUAUAAUUUCGGGUGCAUGUUUUGGAAUAGUACCUUGUUCGACAUUCAGAAAUUCCCUAGUGGAUUGGGUUCCGAUCUUUAUUUUCGUGUCGCGAAUUCUGAACUUGGUAAUUUGACUUGGUUUUUCGGUUCUUGAUUUGAUAUAGACAUACUUGUUAGUGUAUUUUCAGCCCCGUUUUUUAAUUGUUGAGAUGCCCUUUUGAAAGAUUGUGCUGAUUCGGCUUCCUUUGGUUGCUGCUGCGUUGAUGCAGAACACAAGAAAGACUUGAAGAAAAUCGUAAUAGCUUCGGUUAUAAUCGGGAUUUCUCUAUUGUCCUUAUGCAUGUAUUUUUCUUGGAAAUGGAUGUGUAAACAAAGAGGUGAGAGUACAGAUUUUCAGUCCCAUGAAUAAAACCGAUAUUUUCGGCUUUCACUACUUAGUAUAUUUUUCUUGUUAAUUAGGCGAAAAAAGAGCCGUCGUGCACAGAGGAGAGAGAGAAUCAGAUUCAAUUAAUCCGUCUGUUCAAGAAACAUUAAGUAGGUUUAAUCUUGAAGAGUUACCAUUAAUCAAAUUUGAGGUUCUCGUAAAUGCAACUAACAACUUCUCGAAUGCUAACGAGCUCGGAAAGGGCGGUUUUGGCAUUGUUUACAAGGUAAAUGUGUUUUCUUUCCUUAUAUAUUUAUAUAUACAUAUAUAUGUAUGCGAUUAUAAAAAUUCGUUGGGUGCAAUUACUUUAGGGAGAAGUGGCGAAUGGAAGAGAAAUCGCGGUGAAGAGGCUCUCGAAAGGGUCGGGACAAGGGAUGGAUGAAUUCAUGAAUGAAGCGUUGCUUAUUUCUAAACUCCAACACAGAAAUCUCGUUAGACUAUUGGGAUGUUGUGUGGAGAAUAACGAGAAGAUUCUUAUAUACGAAUACAUGCCCAAUAAGAGCUUGGACUUCUUCCUCUUCGGUCGGUUUUCAAACAUCUUUAGUUUCUAUCUCUUGUUCGACAAAUUUGAGGAAACUCAUCACUUGUUCUGUUUAUAUAUGCAAUAUUAUUUUUUUAUUCAGAUCAAUCACAAGAAAUCCUAGAUUGGAGAAAGCGUUUAAACAUAAUUGAAGGCAUUUGUCGAGGCCUUGUUUACCUUCACAGAGAUUCGAGAUUAAAGAUUAUCCAUCGAGACCUAAAGCCCAGUAACAUAUUGCUGGAUAAUAAUUGGAAUCCGAAGAUUUCCGAUUUCGGGAUGGCUAGAAUUUUCGGAACCAAGCAAGAUCAUAUCAGC
rnacentral:lncRNA from 1 species